GUGCUUGGUUCGGCAGCACAUAUACUAAAAUUGGAACGAUACAGAGAAGAUUAGCAUAGCCCUACGCGAGGAUGGUGUGUUCCAUAUUUUU
ensembl:snRNA Gm23407 predicted gene, 23407